AUAGUAUAAUAUUUCUCCUGCAAUGUAAAACCAAAAAAAAAAAUCAAUAUAUAAACAACUAACAUGACAACAUGCCUUACGACAGUAAAUAUGCAAAAUGAAAAAGAACAAGAGAAGAAAAAUACUUACACUCACUAUCUUUGCUUUCUCAGAUAUAAAGGUACCAUCUUUUCUCUUGUGAGUGUGUUCAAAUAACAUUUUGUGAU
rnacentral:lncRNA from 1 species